UUGUCCGGAUUUAUUGGGCGUAAAGAGCUCGUAUGCGGUUUGUCGCGUCUGCCGUGAAAGUCCGGGGCUCAACUCCGGAUCUGCGGUGGGUACGGGCAGACUAGAGUGAUGUAGGGGAGACUGGAAUUCCUGGUGUAGCGGUGAAAUGCGCAGAUAUCAGGAGGAACACCGAUGGCGAAGGCAGGUCUCUGGGCAUUAACUGACGCUGAGGAGCGAAAGCAUGGGGAGCGAACAGG
rnacentral:rRNA from 1 species